rnacentral:lncRNA from 1 species
AUGCAGCCGGGACAUGUAUUCUGGCACACGCAGUUGAAAUUUCUGUUUUUAUUGCUUAGUUUGUCUCAGCGGCAAGUUGCUACAAGCUUCAUUCAGGCUUUUCUCUCAGCCUGGGGACCUGACCUGUCUAUACUCCACCAACACAUCCAGCUGCCACUGUUUGAGAAUGGAGCUCAGGAAGAGGUGAGUCAGGCAGUAACCAGGAGAGUUUUGGGACUCUAUCUGUGCCCGCUUUUAUCACCUGUCCUGCUGCUGGCACUCUCACUGAUCUAUCCUCAAGUUUAAUUGUGUCUGCAUAGUCUCCUCUGUGGCUCUAUACCUGUCCAUUAUCGGCCCUGUCCAAUUUAUCUCCACAUUUCUUCAGUGUGCGUUGUCUGCUGAACAAAUCCCUGUCUGUAGUGAUUAAUUUGGAAGGAUCCCGCUGUGAAUACACAGAGGAGGGAAACAGAGGGAGAAGUGAGAUGGGAUUCUGCACUCACAGACAGGGAGUUUGGCCUCUGUGAUCCUUGAACAACCCCCCCCCCCGCAGUGUUAAAAAUAACCAGCUCUUCAUCUAACUGACCAGACAGACUGGGGCUUUGAGGGAGUAUUAUCUAUCUGGAGUUUGUUCAACAACCAGGCAGACAGACAACACAAACAUAUAUAUAAAUACACACACACACCACAAAAACAGAUAAAGGAAGUAUAAGCACAAGAUAAAAGGAAAUCAGUGGUGUGCAGAUGAUAAGUGAAAGUUAAAGAAUUAUUUUCAGCAGGCAACAAGCUCGACGGUUUUGAUUCUUGUUGAAUAUCGUCUGUUCUUUGUGACAAUGUCAACACCCCAGACUUGUUCUUUUUAUGCUUAUUCUCACCACAUCACUGGGCUUUUAAUAUAUCUCACACCUGAUCACACAUCAAGGUAUUUACAUUCAGAGCUAAGACGUUUGUGGUUGAAUUUUAUAUUUACAAAUUGUUUUGAUUUUGAGAACACAAUCAUUAGCAUUUUUAAAGUAUGUUGGAUAGAUGUGCAUGUUUGAAUUCUUCCUUACAAUUAAGAACAUGAAGUAUAAUAAAUAUAUUAGCAUUUUGAAUGUAAAGAGCACAGACAGAGAGCAAUGGAAUAAUGCAUUAAAAUAAAUAUAUAUAGUAUUUUCACUUUUAGUCUUGAAGUCUCUAUUCAGUCAGGGUUGUCUGACAUUGUUCAAUUUUCUAGUUUAGUAUCUCACUGUGGUAGGUUAGGGGGGCUGGGAGGAAAUGUGAUCAUUAUCUUAAAUGUGGUGACAUAUUAUGACUAUUAUGACUAUUCAAAUAUGCAGCAGUGUGAGCUAAAAAAUAUUUAACAAUAAGAUUAAGAGCCGUGGAAACCAGAUCAGUGCCUUAUCUUACCCUGCCAUUGGUGAGCAAUGAUUGUACAUAAGUGUUAUGAUGAAAUAUUGGUCUUUACUUUGUUUAAUACUUUUGAGAUGAUACAAUGCAACCGAAAACACAUUGCAAAACUGAUUACACCAUUAGUCUCCCAGUGUAAGCUGCACUAUUGUAAGCAACAUUGAUCACUGUCUAUUAACCUAUGACCUCUACUGGUCAAUGGGAGAACUGCAACCAUCUGUGGUACAAAACUGUGCCGGGAUUUGAAAAAUACUGUCCUUUAUUCAACAUAUACAAUAUUACAUAUCUGUUUGUGAGUUCGUUUAAUGACCAUUAUAGUGACAGUGAUGGGACAUCUUAGGUCUACAGAAAAGUAAAAAAAUAAUUUGAAAAGUUAUGUUGUACAAAAGUAUAUAAAGUGUGUCUCAUUGUUAUACCUCUUUUGAAUUAUAUUUACAAUAUACUCAAGGGUGAUACAAGACAACAGCUUCAAUGCUUUCAGACUAUUUACAACUAAAUAGCUCGGUGUGUCUAUGUGUAGAUACUAAAUACUUUAUAUAAGUUACAUGUACUUAUAAAAUAGGUAGCGUGCUUUGGUAUGAGCAUGUUCUCACUAACAUGUUUCCUGUAUUCAGGGUAAAAGGAAACCAAAGCCCUGAUUCUGUCUGUGGUUUUCUGUGGCUUUGUCAUUAUGUAUAUAUUAUAGCUCCUCCUCUCAAUAAGAGGAUGAGUAAUGUUAGAUUUUCCAUUCUGUCGUGAUGGUGGGAGAUUUAGUGAAUAAUGAUAAAACCCUGCAAGUGUAGCAAUGUGUGUCUGAUCCAAACCAUAAUAAGCAGAACAUAACUAAAAAUACCGUGAUAGAUUUCCUUGGUCUUAACGGCUUCCCCUUGGGGCCUCUUGGUUUGAGGCACCAGGAAUAUGGCAGAUGAAAGUUAGGCUAUGCAAAAACAUCGCCUCGGGUGCGAGACAGUCUAGACACUACUGCUCAAAGUCAUAUGAUUUUAAUAUGCAGUGACAGUGUGAGUCAUUAGUUCAAAAUAUGCUAAUGACAUGCACCUCAUGCUGUUCAGAAUGUGGUGCAAAAUCCCUUCUAGUGGUUUUAAUCUCGUGUCCCCG